UGCGGGGUAGCUCAGCCAGCUCAGAGCAGCCGGUGUCAUGCCCGGUAGAGACGCGGGUUCAAAUCUCCGGCCCCGCAC
rnacentral:tRNA from 1 species